GAUGUGAAUGUGUGGAGAAAGGGCUAGGAGGAGGCAAAACUAUGUAUAGAAGCACUGAGUCACAAUCAAGGUAAAGUCCAGGUAACAUGGUAACCCAGAACCAGGAGGAAAACACUGGUGAACAGAAGGAGAAAGACAGAGAGGUCUGGGAAUAAUUGGUCCAUAUGCACAUUACACAAGCAUCGUAUCUUACAGGAACAUGCACAGGAGAUGCAAGAGAGAGUGAUAAAUUUGCCUUUUGUUGAAUAGCUCCUUCUUUCACUGGUAGACUUGCCCCCACACAGAGAAGACAGCCUAAAUAAAAGAAUUCCUAGAAGAAAUGACAGGAAUCUUGGCAGGAAUUCCAUCCACAGAAUUGUUCCUGGUCACCUCUGUUUUCCACUGUCUGAUGUUCCUGUUCCAGCAGCUCAGAA